GCCGAGGUGGUGAAAUUGGUAGACGCGCUGGUUUCAGGGACCAGUACUCUUCGGGGUGUGCGGGUUCGAGUCCCGCCCUCGGCA
rnacentral:tRNA from 1 species